AACGCUGGCGGCAGGCUUAACACAUGCAAGUCGAACGGGCACUUCGGUGCUAGUGGCAGACGGGUGAGUAACACGUGGGAACGUACCUUUCGGUUCGGAAUAAUUCAGGGAAACUUGGACUAAUACCGGAUACGCCCUUCGGGGGAAAGAUUUAUCGCCGAUAGAUCGGCCCGCGUCUGAUUAGCUAGUUGGUGAGGUAAUGGCUCACCAAGGCGACGAUCAGUAGCUGGUCUGAGAGGAUGAUCAGCCACAUUGGGACUGAGACACGGCCCAAACUCCUACGGGAGGCAGCAGUGGGGAAUAUUGGACAAUGGGCGCAAGCCUGAUCCAGCCAUGCCGCGUGAGUGAUGAAGGCCUUAGGGUUGUAAAGCUCUUUUGUCCGGGAAGAUAAUGACUGUACCGGAAGAAUAAGCCCCGGCUAACUUCGUGCCAGCAGCCGCGGUAAUACGAAGGGGGCUAGCGUUGCUCGGAAUCACUGGGCGUAAAGGGCGCGUAGGCGGACUC
rnacentral:rRNA from 1 species